GUUGGACCAGAGGCCCUUGUCCCUGGCUUUGUCUCUUCACACCCACAGUGUAUCAGCACCGCUCGCUACUUUGCAGCGGGCGUCAGGCUGGCCCCCCCUUAGGGAAGCGAGGACUUUGAGGCCCAACUGAACAGAAUCGUUACUACACCUCAAGCCCUGACCGGCAGACAAACAGAACUUCUACUCUGUUGAGGAAUAUGCCGCUGCAAAAAAAAUCCUGACAAUACCAACAUCCCCAGCCAACAUGAGACCAUGAACAUGUCUUUGUCACCAGAGGGCCAAGCUGACCUGUCAGCAGCCUGUCAGGAUUCUAUGAGAGGGGCCCUACGCUGGUGGGACCACCACCAAUACAUAAUUGUCAGACAGCUCUAAAUGCUUGAAUACAACCCACAGUGGAACCUCAUCUUUGCGUUACGCCUUUGUGUGUACAUUGUUUUUAAAGGACAGCUACAGUUGAAACCCCAAUAGAAUGGGACAUGCAAAGACAAACAUCAAAGUGUCUUAUAAAGUUGCUAGGCCAUGACAGGCCGAUGGAACACCAUCUCUGUACAGCUACUAGAUGGUCUUCAAUUUUACCUCAAGGCAAAGCUUCAGCUAAAUCAGGCGUGGAGGAAUCUAUAAAGAAAAGAUGCUGAAGUUUCACUUUUCACAGUGAUCCAGCCCUGCGGCAAAUUUUAGGCUUGUUUAGUUAGGAGCAAUUUCACAGCUUUAGCUUGUUAAAAGGAAUGACACAAGAUGAGUGGGCCUUAGCUAGGAAGUCCCCCCCCUCCCAAAGUAAACAAAAACCCACACAUCAAAGUUGCAAGCUGACCUCAAUGUAGCGGCUGCCCAUGUGGUGCUUGUGGCGCUCCAGUGCAAGGUCUCUAUGCUCAGAGUUGAUGAAGCGAACCAAGGCCUCGCCAUUCCUCCUGCCCUGAGCGUUGAGGCACAAGGCCACGCCCCCCCUGAAACAAAUGACGGCAUCAUCCUUAAAAUUGUCAAAAUCGAAUUACCUAGAAGCUUCCAACUAAGAGAUACACUCCUCUUUUGAAAAUGACACACACAAAAAAAAAAGAAUACAGUCAAACCUCAGUUUUCU